CUUGUCCUUAAUUCCUUUGCAGAACCUCACACUGGACUGUAGAGUUUCACCAUGGAAGAGAAAGCCUUCAUUUUGAACUUGGAAAUCUCCCAUUUGCAGGCAUCGGCAAUGCCAGGGAGCCACAGGUGGGCACCACAGGAGCAGGCGGGUGCUUAUGCCCAAUAACAACACUCUCAAUGAAGGUUGAAAAUAAGGCAGGAAGAAGUAGCUGAGAUUCAAGGUCCAGUCAGAUGAAGUGUGAAGUGAAGCUGAGUCUUGAAACUUUGCAUAUUCCCUUUCUGAUCAGAACAAAGGUACCUUCCUUGACACAGAAUUGGUGGCCCUUUUGAGAGCUGGCCUCACAUUGAAUCACUCAUGUGACCGUCCUUCAGCAAGCAGUGACCAUGAAACCAAGUUCAUUAUUUGAGGAAAAGGACAAACACUGGGGUGAAAUGAUUUGUUAAAGGUUACAAACUGAAUUGGGGCAGCAAAGAGAUUUAAACAUGCAGUUCUCAUGAUGUCCAGCUCAACAUAGGAUUUACACAAUUCUAAUUCAGAAAAGUUGCCAAACUUUUGCAAUGUUUUAAGACAGAGCAAAUGGUUUUGGGGGCAUUUCAGACAUAUGUACAGGUCUUUUUGAUCAGGUAUUUUGGGAUGGCAUGUCAUAGACCUGAAUGCCAAGAUAUGUUAUAUUAAUUAUAGCAAUACCAGUGGGAUGUGCCUACUAAUUCUGCUUUUCAAUCUUUGAAGACUUUUCAAUCUUAGAAUCACAAAAAGGAGUGUACCUCUUACAGCUGCAUGUCACUGACAUCAGGUCUGACUGUGAGGCCUGGCAGUCAGUUCCCACCCUAUGUACUAUCUCUGGCUUUCUGGAAUAGAGAGGGGUUUUGAAAACUGGAAGGGGAGCCACAGAAGAGAUGGGGGAAAGGAAGAGAGAAAGGAUGUGCAAAGAAAACAUAUUUAAAUCUGUUACUAUACAUGAGAUCAUAUUUCUGGCAUUUUUUUCGAGGUCCUAUAGAAACUGUUAGUUCCAAUAUAGAAAUACUAGAGUAAAUUGGUGUUAAAUUUAAAUCUACUUAGGAAGUAAUAGUCCAUCUGCGGUCCUGGUGAGAUUCUUUUAAGGGACUUUGGGAAAGAGAAGUCCACAGUAUGAAAGAUUUUUCUAGUAUUUAAUCUACUGUUGUCCAGUGUAAAUGAAUUUGUACAUAGAGAUAUAAAUAUUCAAGAGGAGGCUGAAAAUUUUAUUGACAGUAUCUGUUAUCAUGUUAGAGAUAUCACUGGAUGAUUUAAAGAAAAAAUAUUGUUUAGUAUUCCUAGGUAUAGAAAUUAUUUGAAAGCAUACUAGAAAAGUUGGAAUUUGGAUGUUUUCAGUAGAUCAAUAUUUACAUUUAAAAACCUGGAAAUUCUAAAGGAUAAACAUCUUGAAUGGUGUGACUUCCUUUGCUGUGAUGCAUUUUGGAUGUUAGCAAUAUUCUUACCCCCUGCUGUGGUUUUGACAGGGUCACCUGGAAGCCUUUGUUCCAUCUGUAGUAUUUUGCUUUACUGUAAGAAAGUUUAUAGUCAAGUGCAUCUUCUAUUUCAUUUGGAAAUAAGUUGUUCUCACUGGCAGAAACUUUUAACUCCUGUUAAUUCUGUCCAUAUGGACACAUUAAUAUUCAUACAUACUAUGUGGCAUUACAUGUACAUGGAUGACAUUUUACCAUGUCCAUGAAACUUACUCUGAUUAAUUCCUUUAUUUAACUUUUAAAUAAAAGUAUUUUUUCUCCAAAUAA